rnacentral:rRNA from 1 species
AUGUCGCACUUGGAGAGAGGUGACUUCCCGCGGAGUUGGAUGAUGAGCUUCACCAACCGCCGGAACCGUUCGCAGUCGUCAACAUUGAAGUGCAGGCUGGUGGUGCGCCUCCAGAGGUCGCGCCAACGGGUGUCGAGCACGCAGGUCUGCAGGGCGUCGUCCGAGGGCAGAAAGGAGAGCACAUGCCAGAGGAGGUCGUCGGUGAGGUCGCCGAAGCGGUCCGCGUCGCUGGCAGCAGCAAUGGUGCGCAUUUCGUCGAACAGGUGGUGGGAAACCCUUCUGCAGGAGGUGAAAGAGAUGAACAUCACCAAAUCGGUCGAAAACCUAGGUUGA